rnacentral:rRNA from 1 species
UACGGGGGGAGCAAGCGUUGUUCGGAUUUACUGGGCGUAAAGGGCGCGUAGGCGGCCACCGCAAGUCGACUGUGAAAUCUCCGGGCUUAACCCGGAAAGGUCAGCCGAUACUGCGGGGCUAGAGUGCAGAAGGGGCAACUGGAAUUCUCGGUGUAGCGGUGAAAUGCGUAGAUAUCGUAAGGAAGGCCGGUGGCGAAAGCGAACCUCUGGGCAGCUUCUGACGCUGUGGCACGAAGGCUAGGGGAGCAAACGGG